CCUGUGUGAUCGCCACAAAAGUAGUGGCGGGUAUUGAUGUUAUCCCACCCCUGCCACCACUUUUGUGGCGAUCACACAGG
rnacentral:miRNA from 1 species